UUCCUGUGAAAACCUGUUCUUUAAAGCUUAACUGGAGCAAAUGGCAAUCCGUGAAAAAGCUGAAUGGACAUUUGCUUCAGUUGAGCACUAAAGAGCGGGUUUUGAUGAGGA